rnacentral:rRNA from 1 species
UCCGUAGGGUCCGAGCGUUGUCCGGAAUUACUGGGCGUAAAGAGCUCGUAGGUGGUUUGUCGCGUUGUUCGUGAAAACUCACAGCUUAACUGUGGGCGUGCGGGCGAUACGGGCAGACUGGAGUACUGCAGGGGAGACUGGAAUUCAUGGUGUAGCAGUGAAAUGCGUAGAGAUCAUGAGGAAGACCAGUGGCGAAGGCGGGUCUCUGGACAGUUCCUGACACUGAGGCACGAAGGCCAGGGGAGCAAACGGG